rnacentral:rRNA from 1 species
GAUGAACGCUGGCGGCGUGCCUAAUACAUGCAAGUCGAGCGAACGGACGAGAAGCUUGCUUCUCUGAUGUUAGCGGCGGACGGGUGAGUAACACGUGGAUAACCUACCUAUAAGACUGGGAUAACUUCGGGAAACCGGAGCUAAUACCGGAUAAUAUUUUGAACCGCAUGGUUCAAAAGUGAAAGACGGUCUUGCUGUCACUUAUAGAUGGAUCCGCGCUGCAUUAGCUAGUUGGUAAGGUAACGGCUUACCAAGGCAACGAUGCAUAGCCGACCUGAGAGGGGAACCGGCCACACGGAAACUGAGACACGGUCCAGACCCCUACGGAGGGCAGAGGUAGGGAAUCUUCCGCAAGGGGCGAAAGCCUGACGGAGCAACGCGGCGGGGGGGAUGAAGGCCUUCGGAUCGUAAACCCCUGUUAUUAGGGAGAACAUAUGUGUAAGUAACUGUGCACAUCUUGACGGUACCUAAUCAGAAAGCCACGGCUAACUACGUG